rnacentral:rRNA from 1 species
AUUGAACGCUGGCGGCAGGCCUAACACAUGCAAGUCGAACGAGUGGCGGACGGGGGAGUAAGGUCUGGGAAACUGCCUGAGGGAGGGGGAUAACUACUGGAAACGGUAGCUAAUACCGCAUACCAUCAGAAGUGCCCAGAUGGGAGUACCUUGUUGGUGGGGUAACGGCUCCACAAGGCGACGAGCCCUAGCUGGUCUGAGAGGAUGACCAGCCACACUGGAACUGAGAAACGGUCCAGACGCCUAGGGGAGGCAGCAGUGGGGAAUAUUGCACAAUGGGCGCAAGCCUGAUGCAGCCAUGCCGCGUGUAUGAAGAAGGCCUUCGGGUUGUAAAGUACUUUCAGCGGGGAGGCGUUACCCGCAGAAGAAGCACCGGCUAACUCCGUGCCAGCAGCCGCGGUAAUUC